rnacentral:lncRNA from 1 species
AAAUCCGAUUCAUCUAAGCUGACUAAUUGAAAUCAAAAUCAUUUGGUGUCUAAGGUAAGUUUCGAUCGAUAGUUUUUAAUUGGGAGGCUACUCACCUAGAUAAUUAAGCCUACAGUGAGUUAAUGGCAUACCCUCUCGUCAAUCUCACUUAUCUGACUAUUUAGAUGAUUGGAUUCAUUAGUUGUUAAGAUAUUUUGGUUUGGCCCAUACCUAUU